rnacentral:rRNA from 1 species
AUUGAACGCUGGCGGCAUGCCUUACACAUGCAAGUCGAACGGUAACAGGUCUUCGGAUGCUGACGAGUGGCGAACGGGUGAGUAAUACAUCGGAACGUGCCCGAGAGUGGGGGAUAACGAGGCGAAAGCUUUGCUAAUACCGCAUACGAUCUCAGGAUGAAAGCAGGGGACCGCAAGGCCUUGCGCUCACGGAGCGGCCGAUGGCAGAUUAGGUAGUGGGUGGGAUAAAAGCUUACCAAGCCGACGAUCUGUAGCUGGUCUGAGAGGACGACCAGCCACACGGGGACUGAGACACGGCCCAGACUCCUACGGGAGUCAGCAGUGGGGAAUUUUGGACAAUGGGCGCAAGCCUGAUCCAGCCAUGCCGCGUGCAGGAUGAAGGCCUUCGGGUUGUAAACUGCUUCUGUACGGAACGAAAAGACUCUGGUUAAUACCUGGGGUCCAUGACGGUACCGUAAGAAUAAGCACCGGCUAACUACGUGCCAGCCGCCGCAGUAACAC